UGUGUAGGCGGCCUAUUAAGUUCCGUGUGAAAUCUCCCGGCUUAACCGGGAGGGUGCGCGGAAAACUGACGGGCUAGAGUGCGGGAUGGGAGAGUAGAAUUCCUGGUGUAGCGGUGAAAUGCGUAGAUAUCAGGAGGAAUACCUGUGGUGUAGACGGCUCUCUGGACCGCAACUGACGCUGAGACACGAAAGCGUGGGUAGCAAACA
rnacentral:rRNA from 1 species